AAAACUCCGACAGACUUUGGCGAUAAGCUGAUGACGACUGAUUACAACCACACAUUCACGGAAUGGUCAAAUUAUCGUACAUUUGGCCUUUUUUUAGAAAUAUUGAUCGUACAUCGUACAGAGAGCAAGAUUAUCGUACAAAUACAAUAAUUAUCGUACACCUGACAACACUGCCUCGCAGACAGCCUGCAGUCAGUCUUAAUUAAUGGCUCUUCAGGGGCCCCUGCACCUGGUCUGCGCGGACAGGUGAAGUGGAGCUCUGGCGGUUUUUUGGAAACGGUGGAUUUGAACGGACCAAUCAGCGCGCUGCAUUUGAGGACCCGUCGCACUCUGUGGUUCGCGUUUUUUCCAGCUAUCCCGCUCAAGUUGUGCAGAGACUUCAUCAUCCAACCUUCACCAUAAGAGCGGCCCUCUUUCUCAGAGUGAAAAUCCAGCUAUCAUUGGACUCCAGAAACGUAUCAAUCUGCCACUGAACAGCUGGAGAGAGAGGAUGUGACAGAAGUACAGGGGAUUAAGAUAUGAUGGAUACACAAAAGGACAUCGGUGAUGCCAUACGAGCUUUAGAGGAUGUGUUGGAGAACCUCGGCACUACAACCACAGAUGAUUUACAAUAUAUCACUGAAGGAGACUUAUUGCCUGUGCUAAAGUCCAUACAGGCCAGAAGACUGGUUGCUGCGUGGGCCCAAAAUAAACAACAAUGUACAGCUUCUCAUUUACACCUGGUAGUUCCUGUGCAGGGGACAGACAACAGUCUGUUAGAAAAGGAAACACUCUACAUUAACAGUUACCUAACAUUACUUUACACAGGUAAAUUUGAUAUCACUAACACAAUUUAAAAGAUGAAAAAUUGUAACAGUAAAAAGUACAUGUACUUGUAUAUAUUUAUGCAUAACUUAAUUUGAUAUGACCAGUUAGUAAGAUAUUUCAAGAUAAUUGCAGUUUUGAGAUUUAAGCAUAUUGUAUAUAAUAUCUUGUUUUGAUAAAACAAAAUUUUUCUUUUUUUUACAGAGUACCAAAAAAAUGUAUACGUAAUGUUUUUCAAUUUCAUUUGUUGUACCUUUCCAGACUCAAUGGCUUCAUCCUCCUCUCCACAGUCCGUUCAGUCCUCUCAAUCUACAACCA